rnacentral:rRNA from 1 species
GUGGAAUUCCAAGCGUAGCGGUGAAAUGCGUAGAUAUUGGAGAAACACCAGUGAAGAAGGCGACUUUCUGGUCUGUUCUGACACUGAGGCGCGAAAGCAUGGGGAGCAAACAGGAUUAGAUACCAUGGUAGUCCACACCGUAAACGAUGAGUGCUAAGUGUUAGGGGGUUUCCGCCCCUUAGUGCUGCAGCUAACGCAUUAAGCACUCCGCCUGGGGAGUACGGUCGCAAGACUGAAACUCAAAGGAAUUGACGGGGGCCCGCACAAGCGGUGGAGCAUGUGGUUUAAUUCGAAGCAACGCGAAGAACCUUUCCAGGUCUUGACAUCCUCUGACAACCCUAGAGAUAGGGCUUUCCCCUUCGGGGGACAGAGUGACAGGUGGUGCAUGGUUGUCGUCAGCUCGUGUCGUGAGAUGUUGGGUUAAGUCCCGCAACGAGCGCAACCCUUGAUCUUAGUUGCCAGCAUUCAGUUGGGCACUCUAAGAUGACUGCCGGUGACAAACCGGAGGAAGGUGGGGAUGACGUCAAAUCAUCAUGCCCCUUAUGACCUGGGCUACACACGUGCUACAAUGGACGGUACAAAGGGCAGCGAGACCGCGAGGUUUAGCCAAUCCCAUAAAACCGUUCUCAGUUCGGAUUGUAGGCUGCAACUCGCCUACAUGAAGCUGGAAUCGUUAGUAAUCGCGGAUCAGCAUCCCGCGGUGAAUACGUUCCCGGGCCUUGUACACACCGCCCGUCACACCACGAGAGUUUGUAACACCCGAAGUCGGUGAGGUAACCUUACC